rnacentral:rRNA from 1 species
ACUCCUACGGGAGGCAGCAGUGGGGAAUUUUGGACAAUGGGGGCAACCCUGAUCCAGCCAUGCCGCGUGAGUGAAGAAGGCCUUCGGGUUGUAAAGCUCUUUCGGCCGGAACGAAAUCGCGUACGUGAAUAACGUGCGUGGAUGACGGUACUGGAAGAAGAAGCACCGGCUAACUACGUGCCAGCAGCCGCGGUAAUACGUAGGGUGCGAGCGUUAGUCGGAAUUACUGGGCGUAAAGCGUGCGUAGGCGGUUCUGCAAGUCAGAUGUGAAAUCCCCGGGCUUAACCUGGGAACUGCGUUUGAAACUACGGAGCUAGAGUACGGCAGAGGGGGGUGGAAUUCCACGUGUAGCAGUGAAAUGCGUAGAUAUGUGGAGGAACACCGAUGGCGAAGGCAACCCCCUGGGCCGAUACUGACGCUGAGGCACGAAAGCGUGGGGAGCAAACAGGAUUAGAUACCCUGGUAGUCCACGCCCUAAACUAUGUCAACUAGUUGUCGGGAAAGCAAUUUCUUGGUAACGAAGCUAACGCGUGAAGUUGACCGCCUGGGGAGUACGGUCGCAAGAUUAAAACUCAAAUGAAUUGACGG